rnacentral:lncRNA from 1 species
AUCUUGAUGUGUGAAAUUCUCCCCCCCCCAAAUCUAUAUAUUUUAUUAACUGUCAAAUAUCAUAAAAACCUACAUUUUAAAUGAAAAUAUACUCUGAAACUAAAGCUAGACUAUGUAUAACCAAAGAAGUUUUAGACUGGUAUCAUUAUGAUCAUGGAUAAGAACAUCUGUAAGAAUUUAUUAUUGAAAGAUUAGAAGAGUAAGCUGUGUCACCAUAUAGAGUUUAUUCCUCUAACACACAAUAGUGAUUCUCUCAGGUAACUUAAAAAUUAUUCUACACUUUGGCCCAUAAUUCAUCUUUGUGAUUUUUGUCUUAAGUAAAUUAUUCCAAAAUAUUUUAUAUAAAAGUAUGUUUAGCACCAGAUGGUAUUUUUCGUUGGCAGCCUCUAAGAUGGCCCUUAAUAAUUGAUCCCCAUCUUCUUAUGUUCACAUUCUUGUAUGAUCCCCUCCUGCUGAAUGACUAGAUUUGGUGACUCACUCAUAACAAAUAGAUUGUUAUAAAACACUGUGGCUUCUGUCUUGGGGGCUGCUACUCUCUUUUUACACAUGCUAAGUGUGAUUUUAACUACACUUGGGAUCAAUCUUUUUUUUUCCCUCACCCCAGAAGCUUACGAGAAGGAAACAUAUGAAGUAAUGAUACUCUAUGUGGAAACAUAUGAAGUAGUGAUACUCUAUGUCUUUAAGUGUUAGGACUGUGUGAUUUGUUCUGCUUUUCUUUAUUUUUCUCUUCCCUUUCAAUAUCAUGUAUUAUUUUAUAGUGGAGAAAUGCUUAUGAAGAAAAAGGGAAGAUUGGGAAAACCAGAGGAAAAGAACAAAGAACAUGUAGGUUUAAACACAUGCAACAUUUGAGAAAUAUUUGGGGAGAAAAAGUUGUGAAUUUAUGCAUUUAUAUUUAAGUAUAUACAAGAAAGAUAUAUAUUUCAAGAUUAUGUAAUAUUUAAAAUUUGUCUAGUGAUCAUAUAUCACUUAUAAUAAGAAAAGUAAUGCAACAUGAGAUGUUUACAAAAAAUACUGGUAAAUUUGUACCUGGUACUCUCAGAUGAAAAGUACUAUGUAAAUCCACAACAUUAUUUCUUGAUGAUAAUUUAGUCACAAUUUAUUUUGAGUUCAAUAGUAAUUUAGGCAACAGAAUUUACUAGCACAUCUUUGCUAGUUUGUUUGUGCACAGAUCUCAAUCCUUCAACCAAUGAAGACUUUUGGCAUCAAUAUUUUUGUAAACGACAUUCAGCAAUGCUUUGCUAUCCAACCUUCUCAUUGUCAGUUUACCUCCCAUCUUCCAGUUCAUUCUCUCUCAUGUUGGUGCCUUCCAUGAUGGCUGAUUCCACCUCCUCUGGAGUCUGUUGCAGAUCACUACAGUGUAGCUGUCUAGCCAAGAUCUCCUGAACAGAAACAUUAAAUUGCUUCAGAUUAUUUGGACCAGUUACAUUUUCUGCAGCAAGAACUGAAAUAAAGCAAGAGCAACCUGCAUUUGAAGCAAAGGAUUGAGGCUAUCAUAAAGAGAAAAUCAAUAGCUGGUUUGAAUAGAAUGCCAGUUUACUUUCAUGAUCUGUGCAGAGGUUAACAACCUCUUGGGGCCAGCACAAUGUAUGACACACAGUGAAUACACAGUUCUGAAGGAUAACUGACUGAAUUAUGCUUUUGCAAUAUCAGAGAGCAAUCAUCCACCCUGGUUGAAGCCAUCCUAGUGAAUAUUUUUGGUGGAAUCGUCAACUGUGCCAUCAUUGCCAAUGGGAUCACCAAAGCAUGCCGGGAGCUGGAACUCAAGGUGCCUCUGGUGGUCCGGCUUGAAGGAACCAAUGUCCACGAAGCCCAGAACAUUCUCACUAACAGCGGACUCCCCAUUACUUCGGCUGUCGACCUGGAGGAUGCAGCCAAGAAGGCUGUGGCCAGCGUGACUAAGAAGUGAUGCCUUUGUCCUGAUCCCUCGGAGGAAGAAGUUUUCCCAUAAGAAGGGAUUGUUCUCUCAUCACUGUGAAAGAAAUGGUUAUCCCAAUGAGGGGAAAAAAAAAAAAAAACAGAAGAAGGGAAGAGCAAGAAGCACUGUAUUAAAAAAUCUUAAAUCGGUUUUUUCUUGAAUAAGAUAUCUAGACAGCCUAAAUAAUCUGAUUUCCCUUAUAAUAUAAUGCCCUGGGUUCUCAUACUUUUCUGUCCUGGUGAGCCAGCUCAGUAGGCAUUGUUUUGCCAACUUUGGAGAACUGUCCAUAUGGCCAGACAUUGUGUGUAUAUACAGCAUUUGAGAUCAGGCUCUGGUUCAUUUACGGUAAAUUUGGUGAACAUUUCAUCCUGUGUUAAUUAAAAAAAAAAAGUCACAGGCUAUUAAAAAAACUCAGACAAGAUUACAUUUAGCAGAUUAACCGUGAAAAAGGUACAACUAAGACAUUCAAACAAACAUCUGUUAUAAACUGCAACAGUUUUUACAAUUUCUAAUUCUAACAUGUUUGGAAAAUCUGUGAAUAUUACAAAAAUGUAUUUUACAAUGGAAAAUCUGCAUUAAUAUCCUAUAUAUGUGUCCUCCCAUUUGCCUUAAUAUUAAAUAUACUGUUUAACUCACACUAAAAAUAAAGCCAGAAGCCUUUUUUGUGAUUUUGGAGUAGAAGGUUCUCUUUUUACAUCAAAACUGAAGACUGUGAAUUCUUAUGGAAAUCACUGAUUCAGUCAUUUCAAGAUGAGACAGCAUCGAAGAUCAGAUUAUGCUGUGUCACUGUCUUCCCUCCCCUCCUCGUACCCACUAUAAUCUACCACCUGAGAAAAUGUUAUUGAGAGAAUGUGCCUUUUUUUGCAUAAUGUCCAUUCUUGUGGUGAGAAAGAAUGUGAAUUAGAUUUUUGUCUAAAUUUUGAUAAAUUUUGAUCUGUACACAAAUUCAAAUAAAGUCCUCUGUUUUGUAAACUCUAA